UUGCGUCGUGGCGAAUGCCAGUGGAACUACAUGACUUCAGACGUCCCGUGUCGCGGGUUCGACUCCCGUCGAUGCGAU
rnacentral:tRNA from 1 species